rnacentral:rRNA from 1 species
GUUGAUCCUGGCUCAGAUUGAACGCUGGCGGCAGGCCUAACACAUGCAAGUCGAGCGGAUGAGGGGAGCUUGCUCCCUGAUUUAGCGGCGGACGGGUGAGUAAUGCCUAGGAAUCUGCCUGGUAGUGGGGGAUAACGUUCCGAAAGGAACGCUAAUACCGCAUACGUCCUACGGGAGAAAGCAGGGGACCUUCGGGCCUUGCGCUAUCAGAUGAGCCUAGGUCGGAUUAGCUAGUUGGUGAGGUAAUGGCUCACCAAGGCGACGAUCCGUAACUGGUCUGAGAGGAUGAUCAGUCACACUGGAACUGAGACACGGUCCAGACUCCUACGGGAGGCAGCAGUGGGGAAUAUUGGACAAUGGGCGAAAGCCUGAUCCAGCCAUGCCGCGUGUGUGAAGAAGGUCUUCGGAUUGUAAAGCACUUUAAGUUGGGAGGAAGGGCAUUAACCUAAUACGUUAGUGUUUUGACGUUACCAACAGAAUAAGCACCGGCUAACUACGUGCCAGCAGCCGCGGUAAUACAAAGGGUGCAAGCGUUAAUCGGAAUUACUGGGCGUAAAGCGCGCGUAG